UUUUUUUUUCUGUACAAAACUUUUUUUUUUCGCCUGUGGCGAAAAACAAUCUAUUUUUUUCGCGACAAGUCGAAAACAAUUUUUUUCUUUCAAUUUUAGCAUUACAUAUUGUGGCAGCUGAGGGUGAAACAAACAAUUUUUUUUUCUCAGAAUCAAAGACAAAUUAUUUUUUUCUCCAAAAACUGGAAACAAACUUUUUUUUCCAAAAAAAACCAUAGCCCCCCCC
rnacentral:lncRNA from 1 species